rnacentral:rRNA from 1 species
GUGCCAGCAGCCGCGGUAAUACGGAGGAUCCGAGCGUUAUCCGGAUUUAUUGGGUUUAAAGGGUGCGUAGGUGGUUUGAUAAGUCAGCGGUGAAAGUUUGCAGCUUAACUGUAAAAAUGCCGUUGAAACUGUCGGACUUGAGUGUAAAUGAGGUAGGCGGAAUGCGUGGUGUAGCGGUGAAAUGCAUAGAUAUCACGCAGAACUCCGAUUGCGAAGGCAGCUUACUAAGCUACAACUGACACUGAAGCACGAAAGCGUGGGGAUCAAACAGGAUUAGAUACCCUGGUAGUCCACGCAGUAAACGAUGAUUACUAGCUGUUUGCGAUCACAGUAAGCGGCACAGCGAAACCGUUAAGUAAUCCACCUGGGGAGUACGCCGGCAACGGUGAAGCUCAAAGGAAUUGACGGGGGCCCGCACAAGCGGAGGAACAUGUGGUUUAAUUCGAUGAUACGCGAGGAACCUUACCCGGGUUUGAACGUAGGGAGACAGGGGUGGAAACAUCCUUUUCAGCAAUGACUGCCUACGAGGUGCUGCAUGGUUGUCGUCAGCUCGUGCCGUGAGGUGUCGGCUUAAGUGCCAUAACGAGCGCAACCCUUAUUUCCAGUUACUAACAGGUCAAGCUGAGGACUCUGGAGAGACUGCCAGCGUAAGCUGUGAGGAAGGUGGGGAUGACGUCAAAUCAGCACGGCCCUUACAUCCGGGGCGACACACGUGUUACAAUGGUAAGGACAAAGGGCAGCUACCGGGCGACCGGAUGCGAAUCUCUAAACCUUAUCUCAGUUCGGAUCGGAGUCUGCAACUCGACUCCGUGAAGCUGGAUUCGCUAGUAAUCGCGCAUCAGCCAUGGCGCGGUGAAUACGUUCCCGGGCCUUGUACACACCGCCCGUCAAGCCAUGGGAGCCGGGGGUACCUGAAGUUCGUAACCGCAAGGAUCGACCUAGGGUAAAACUGGUGACUGGGGCUAAGUCGUAACAAGGUAACC